GUGAGGAAUAUUGCGCAAUGGACGAAAGUCUGACGCAGCGACGCCGCGUGGGCGAUGAAGGCCUUCGGGUCGUAAAGCCCUUUUGGCAGGGACGAGUGAGGACGGUACCUGUCGAAUAAGUCUCGGCUAACUACGUGCCAGCAGCCGCGGUAAAACGUAGGAGGCGAGCGUUAUCCGGAUUCACUGGGCGUAAAGCGUGCGUAGGCGGUUGGGUAAGUCGGACGUGAAAGCCCCUGGCUCAACUGGGGGAGGUCGUUCGAUACUGCUUGGCUUGAGGAUGAGAGAGGAAAGCGGAAUUCCCGGUGUAGCGGUGGAAUGCGUAGAGAUCGGGAGGAACACCAGUGGCGAAAGCGGCUUUCUGGCUCAUUACUGACGCUGAGUGCACGAAAGCGUGGGGAGCAAACGGGAUUAGAAACCCUAGUAGUCC
rnacentral:rRNA from 1 species